AUAUCAAUAAGCGGAGGAAAAGAAACCAACAGGGAUUGCCCUAGUAACGGCGAGUGAAGCGGCAACAGCUCAAAUUUGAAAUCUGGUCCUCGCGGCCCGAGUUGUAAUUUGUAGAGGAUGCUUUCAGGCUUUGGUGCCUUCUGAGUUCCCUGGAAUGGGACGCCACAGAGGGUGAGAGCCCCGUAUAGUCGUGCGCCAUGCCGCUGUAAAGCACCUUCGAAGAGUCGAGUAGUUUGGGAAUGCUGCCCCUAAGCAGGAGGUAAACUUCUUCUAAAGCUAAAUACCGGCCAGAGACCGAUAGCGCACAAGUAGAGUGAUCGAAAGAUGAAAAGCACUUUGAAAAGAGGGUUAAACAGCAC
rnacentral:rRNA from 1 species